GACGAACGCUGGCGGCGUGCCUAAUACAUGCAAGUCGAACGCAGUGGGGACUGGUGAGUAACACGUGGGUAACCUCCCAUCAGAGGGGAUAACGUUUGGAAACAGGUGCUAAACCGAUACGGAUGGCUGGACCCGGGGUGCAUUAGCUAGUAGGUGAGGUAACGGCUCACCAAGGCCACGAUGCAUAGCCGAUCUGAGAGGGUGAUCGGCCACACUGGGACUGAGACACGGCCCAGACUCCUACGGGAGGCAGCAGUAGGGAAUCUUCGGCAAUGGACGAAAGCCUGACCGAGCAACGCCGCGUGAGUGAAGAAGGUUUUCGGAUUGUAAACCUCUGUUGUUAGAGAAGCGUUAUCUAACGAGAAAGCAACGGCUAACUACGUGCCAGCAGCCGCGGUAAUUC
rnacentral:rRNA from 1 species